CGGACGGUUAGGCUUAACCGACGUUGGAAAAAGUGGCCCAAAGUGGCCCUAAACCUUCCCUUGCCGAUAUUUCGAAGCUAAAAUAAAUAUGAAUUUAUCAGUGUACACUUCUUGCACUAGUACAAAAAGUGUAGCGACAAAGAACAAACUUCUGUAAGAUGCGUGAAAUGAGAAAAUUAAAAUCAUAAAGUACGGAAACGAUAGUAUAUUAAAAAAGUGUUUUUAAGUCAUUAAAAAUGUGAAUUUUUCUACACGUAAUUGUUUGUUUUACUAACGUUGUUUGAAGGACAUGUGAUCAUACGUCCGAAUUAUAUACGCAGAAUUACAUACAUACUAUUUAAAUUAUUCACGCUAAUGUAAUUAUCGUAUACAUACCAAGAUAUCGAACAAGGAUAAGAAGAAACGAUAUUUAUGUACUGCAUACAUUGAAACCAUG